rnacentral:rRNA from 1 species
AACGAACGCUGGCGGCAUGCCUAACACAUGCAAGUCGAACGAGAUCUUCGGGUCUAGUGGCGCACGGGUGCGUAACGCGUGGGAAUCUGCGCUUUGGUUCGGAAUAACAGUUGGAAACGACUGCGAAUAAAGGAUGAUGACGAAAGUCCAAAGAUUUAUCGCGAGAGGAUGAGCUAGCGUAGGAUUAGCUAGUUGGUGUGGUACAGGCGCACCAAGGCGACGAUCCUUAGCUGGUCUGAGAGGAUGAUCAGCCACACUGGGACUGAGGCACGGCCCAGACUCCUACGGGAGGCAGCAGUGGGGAAUAUUGGACAAUGGGCGAAAGCCUGAUCCAGCAAUGCCGCGUGAGUGAUGAAGGCCUUAGGGUUGUAAAGCUCUUUUACCCGGGAUGAUAAUGACAGUACCGGGAGAAUAAGCUCCGGCUAACUCCGUGCCAGCAGCCGCCGUAA